rnacentral:rRNA from 1 species
CCUACGGGUGGCAGCAGUGGGGAAUAUUGGACAAUGGGGGGAACCCUGAUCCAGCCAUGCCGCGUGUGUGAAGAAGGCCCUCGGGUUGUAAAGCACUUUCAGUGAGGAAGAACGCCUGGUGGUUAAUACCCAUCAGGAAAGACAUCACUCACAGAAGAAGCACCGGCUAACUCCAGUGCCAGCAGCCGCGGUAAUACGGAGGGUGCGAGCGUUAAUCGGAAUUACUGGGCGUAAAGCGCGCGUAGGUGGCUUGAUACGCCGGGUGUGACAGCCCCGGGCUCAACCUGGGAACGGCAUCCGGAACUGUCAAGCUAGAGUGCAGGAGAGGAAGGUAGAAUUCCCGGUGUAGCGGUGAAAUGCGUAGAGAUCGGGAGGAAUACCAGUGGCGAAGGCGGCCUUCUGGACUGACACUGACACUGAGGUGCGAAAGCGUGGGUAGCAAACAGGAUUAGAUACCCCUGUAGUC